rnacentral:rRNA from 1 species
AUGAUUAGAAAAAGUAGGGUACUCGUGCCCAAUCUCUUCUGAUCUCAAAAGCUAAGCAGGGUCGGGCCUGGUUAGUACUUGGAAGGUAGACCAUCUAGGAAGACCAGGUGCUGUAGGUG